CAUCUAUCAUUGCAGUACAAACACAUGAAAUCCCUCUUCACCAUGAGACCCAGAUAAGUAAGAAGGCCCUUAGGAUCCUUCAAAUACUCAACAUCAGGAAUAAAAAAGCCAUGCUGCUUGUGCAUGUGAACCAUGCAGCUUUCUAAAUUAUCAUGCUCUUGAUCACACAUAAAGCAACAAGAUGGAUCCAACAAAUCAUCAUUUUCACCCUCAUCCAUAUCUUCAUCAGAGGCCUCAUUUACAUUCAAAUCAGUUAAUGACUUUGUCGCCUCAGCAACCAACUCUUCAUCUGGAUCAACCUCUUCCCACUCAUCACUAUCUUCAUUUACUUCAUCAUCUACUUCCUUUUUCAGGGGAUGCUUACUCAUGACACGAUGGGAAAGUGGUUUAAUCACUGCCUUAUCCUCAUCUUGGUUUGUUCCUUUAGAAGCACGCAUGAUGUGGCUCCGUGAUUUAAGAUGCUCAGCAUGAGCUUUGGGACUUCGAUAUCCUUUACCACAGAGAACACAUGUAUACAGUAGAGGGGUCUCGCUUGAUUUAUCCUUCUCUUGAGCAAGUGCAGACUGUCUCGCCAGAAACAAUGCUUCGGUCACUCCUGGAACACCAGCUACCUUGCGNNNNNNNNNNNNGUCGGACUUGUAAUGGAGUUUUUGUUCGGCGUCGUCGUGAAAUUCUUUAUUACAAGCGUUGCAUGUUAACCCGGGCAUUUCUUCUUCGAUUCGAUUGAGAUUGAAUCCCAAUUGAAGAAGGCAGUGCAGAUAUUUUGAGGGAAGGAAAAUAUACCACGGCUUCUAGUCGGCGAGACGGUG
rnacentral:misc_RNA from 1 species